CACGCUGUAAACGAUGAUUACUGGUUGUUAGCGAUAUAUAGCUAGUGACUGAGCGAAAGCAUUAAGUAAUCCACCUGGGGAGUACGUCGGCAACGAUGAAACUCAAAGGAAUUGACGGGGGCCCGCACAAGCGGAGGAACAUGUGGUUUAAUUCGAUGAUACGCGAGGAACCUUACCUGGGUUUAAAUGGGGAGUGACAGGUGUCGAAAGAUGCUUUUCCUUCGGGACACUCUUCAAGGUGC
rnacentral:rRNA from 1 species